rnacentral:rRNA from 1 species
UGCCUGUGAGACGAAUCUAAGUUCUCUCUUAAUUUUCCUUCCCGGACAAUCUUAACCACCAUGUGAUAAAUCAAGAGCAAUUUAAAGGAGGUACAGCUCCUUUAAAAAAGAAUACAAUCUCCCCUAGCGGAUAACUAUCCAAGCACCCCCAAACUGUAGGCCCUCAAGCAGCCACCAACAGAGAAUGCGUCAAAGCUCUCCCCCAAAAAAAGAUUAAAAAACAGCAGGACUCCCUUAAUCUAUAACAGGCUAACCUAUAACAAUAGGAGAAUCAAUGCUAAAAUGAGUAAUCGGGGGUCACCCUCCAAAGCGCAAACUUACAUUCCCUACAUUAUUAACAGACCCUAAACUAAUACUCCUAACCCAACAAGCCAAGUAUUAAAUUCACUCUGUUAGCCCAACCCAGGAGCGCCCAUUAGAAAGAUUCAAAUCUGCAAAAGGAACUAGGCAAUCCCAAGGCCCGACUGUUUACCAAAAACAUAGCCUUCAGCCAACCAAGUAUUGGAGGUGAUGCCUGCCCAGUGACACCCAGUUUAACGGCCGCGGUAUCCUAACCGUGCGAAGGUAGCGCAAUCAAUUGUCCCAUAAAUCGAGACUUGUAUGAAUGGCUAAACGAGGUCUUAACUGUCUCUUGCAGACAAUCAAUGAAAUUGAUCUCCCUGUGCAAAAGCAGGAAUAAACCCAUAAGACGAGAAGACCCUGUGGAACUUAAAAAUCAGCGACCACUACACACAACCCAAAACCUACUAGGCCCAUGACCCUCACAGAACACUGGUCCGCAUUUUUCGGUUGGGGCGACCUUGGAGAAAAACAAAUCCUCCAAAAACAAGAUCAAUAAAUCUUAACCAAGAACAACUCCUCAACGUACUAACAGUAACCAGACCCAAUAUAAUUGACCAAUGGACCAAGCUACCCCAGGGAUAACAGCGCAAUCCCCUCCGAGAGCCCAUAUACAAGGGGGUUUACGACCUCGAUGUUGGAUCAGGACAUCCUAAUGGUGCAGCCGCUAUUAAGGGUUCGUUUGUUCAACGAUUAACAGUCCUACGUGAUCUGAGUUCAGACCGGAGCAAUCCAGGUCGGUUUCUAUCUAU